GGAAUAUUGGACAAUGGGCGAAAGCCUGAUCCAGCAAUGCCGCGGGUGUGCAGAAGGCCUGCGGGUUGUAAAGCACUUUCAGUAGAGAAGAAAAGCCUACGGUUAAUAACCGUGAGUCUUGACGUAACCAACAGAAGAAGCACCGGCUAACUCCGUGCCAGCCGCCGCGGUAAUACGGAGUGUGCAAGCGUUAAUCGGAAUUACUGGGCGUAAAGCGCGCGUAGGCGGCUUUGUAAGUCGGAUGUGAAAGCCCUGGGCUUAACCGGGGAAUUGCAUGCGAUACUGCAUGGCUAGAGUAUGGUAGAGGGAAGUGGAAUUUCCGGUGUAGCGGUGAAAUGCGUAGAUAUCGGAAGGAACACCAGUGGCGAAGGCGACUUCCUGGGCCAAUACUGACGCUGAGGUGCGAAAGCGUGGGGAGCAAAC
rnacentral:rRNA from 1 species